rnacentral:rRNA from 1 species
CCUACGGGAGGCUGCAGUGGGGGAUAUUGCACAAUGGGGGAAACCCUGAUGCAGCGACGCCGCGUGUGGGAAGACGGUCCUCUGGAUUGUAAACCACUGUCCCCAGGGACGAAGAUGACGGUACCUGGGGCGGAAGCUCCGGCUAACUACGUUCCAGCCGCCGCGGUAAUCCGUAGGGAGCGAGCGUUGUCCGGAAUUACUGGGUGUAAAGGGAGCGUAGGCGGGGAUGCAAGUUGGGUGUCAAAACUACCGGCUCAACUGGUAGUCGCACUCAAAACUGCAGCUCUUGAGUGAAGUAGAGGCAGGCGGAAUUCCUAGUGUAGCGGUGAAAUGCGUAGAUAUGAGGAGGAACACCAGUGGCGAAGGCGGCCUGCUGGGCUUUUACUGACGCUGAGGCUCGAAAGUGUGGGGAGCAAACAGGAUUAGAUACCCCGGUAGUC